rnacentral:lncRNA from 1 species
UUUCUCUUUAGAGUUUGGGGGUAUUUAUAGAUGAAGUUUGAUGUUACCUGACGUGGUUGUCUGUAGGGUAGGACUGUACCUUUGGUGGCGUCUGACAUUGCCACUGGGGCUGCGUGGGAGGCCGAGCUGCUGCAGGGUAUGGCGAGCCUCGGGCAGUGUGUCGCUCAGGGGGAUGCUGUCAUGGUGUGUCACAUCGCCAUUUUUAUCCCUAUCA